GACAGCGCGCAGGCGCCGGGCCCCGCGGCCCCUCUUCCGUCGCGCGCUCCCGCCGCGUAGAUUCGGGGACGUUGGCGGGCGCGGAGCGAGCUCGCGGGCAAUUAACGCCCCCACUGCCGCUGAGGAGAGAGAGAGAUUUCGAUGGAAAUGAUUGAAUGAAUGUUUGUCUUCAUGUUUGGGUGAUGGAUAAAUUCCAAGAGCAUACAAGCAACUCUUUCCUGGUCUGAGUAAUUUAAGCAUAAAGGCAUGUUUUUGUAGGAAACCGAAACUAGCAUAGCAAAGUACUCAUGGGUAAGAGAAAGGAAGAAAGCAUUUCAAAGCCUGGACCCAAUAAAAGGCAGAGACAAGAAUACACAGAUGAACAAAGUGAUGAGUCUAACGACGAAGAAAUUUCAUCACCUGACAGUAAUUUCUCUGUA